UUUGUGAUUUGGACGAAGAGAACAAAUAUGGCCAAUCAAUCAGAUAAUAAAGUCACUGUUAAUGAAGAUGAAGGUCAGGAUGAUGAACUUGAGCUCCCAGUAUAUGAAUUUUCCUCUAUCCAAUUUGCCACCAACAACUUCUCUGUUGCAAAUAAGAUUGGAGAAGGGGGGUUUGGGCCUGUUUACAAGGGUGAUUUACAAUCCGGACAAGAAGUAGCUGUGAAGAGACUCGGGGAGAAUUCUG
rnacentral:misc_RNA from 1 species